AACGCACAUUGCGCCCUCUGGUAUUCCGGGGGGCAUGCCUGUUCGAGCGUCAUGAACGCCUCUCAAGCUCAGCUUGGUAUUGGGCCCUCGUUCCCUCAACCGGGACGUGCCCGAAAGUCAGCGGCGAUGUGACCGGACCUCCAGUGUAGUAACUACUUCCGCUGAGACGGCCCCGGGUGCUUUGGCCGGACAACCAACCAAUUCUUUCAAUGGAUUGACCUCGGAUCAGGUAGGGAUACCCGCUGAACUUAA
rnacentral:misc_RNA from 1 species